GUAUUUUUAGUACAGACAGGGUUUCACCGUGUUGGCCAGGCUGGUCUCAAACUCCUGACCUCAAGUGACUGCCCGCCUCAGCCUCCCACAGUGCUGGGAUUACAGGCAUGAACCUGCCCCAUGGUCACAAUUUAAGUACCCUUCUGCACCCUGAAGCUCUGCCCUGGUCACCCACAGAGCCCACAUGGACCAGAGUGCCGCGCUGUGGUUCAGCCAGCGGCCUCUCCUGGCUGGCCACUAGCGAAGCCCCUCCUGUAAAACCAGGAAAUGGUGGCAGCCCAUCCCUGAGCUGGCCCCAGUGAGCCGGCUGGCAGGAAUUCAUGCCCCUUCAAUGGGGGCCGGCCCUGUGAUCGCUGGAGCUAACAGAAUGCUGGGGAAAUGGAGCCGCACUUUAAUGAGGCAUCUGCAUGUUGCUUCUGCUCCUGGGAGGUUCUCUCUGCCAUGUGAAAGUCUGGCCACAGUGCUGGAGAGACCAAGGCCCUGAGGUCCCGAGGCUGCAUGGAGAGCAAGAGACCCAGGCAUCCAGGAACUCAUCCCAUGGAGAAGAACCAUCCAGCUGAGCCCAGCUAGAAACGUGAGAGAGGAGAGAACUGCAGCUGUUUUGAGCCACGGCAUUUCGAGGGGGUUGGAAACGUAGCAGCAAAACCACAGCAAACAGUGGUGCCUUUGGCCCCAGAGCUCCUCACUCACACCCUGACCCAGCCUCUGCUAAUGAGUCACCCCCUGAAUACAGCUCUAUGCAAACCAGCCUGUCCCUGCCAGGGCUCCUCACUCACACCCGGACCCAAGCUCUGCUAAUGAGUUACUCCCUAAAUACAGCUCUAUGCAAAUCAGCCUGUCCCUGCAUCUCCACACUGACAACUUCAGACCUCUGCCCGCGUCUUCUUUCAGGAAACUAUCGCCUGUGCUUCCAGGAGGAUGUCCCAUCCCAUCUAGCUAGAAUUAAGCAGGCAGAGGAACUCCGAAGGACUGGACUGGCUGAGUCUUCCAGACUCCAUCUUUCUUCCAUGCUGGGCGCUUCCUGCCCUCAAACAUCAGACUCAAAGUGCUUCAGCUUUUGGGCUCUGGGACCUACACCGGUGGUUUCCCAGGGGCUCUAGGGCCUACACCAGUGGUUUCUCAAGGGCUGUUCGGCCACAGACUGAAGGCUGCACUGUUGCUUCCCUACUUUUGAGGUUUUGGGACUUGGACCAGCUUCCAGGCUCCUCAGCUUGCAGACGGCCUAUUGUGGGACUUCACCUCAUGAUCGGUGAGUCAAUACUCCCAAUAAACUCCCCUCCAUGUCUACAUCUAUCCUAUUAGUGCUGUCCCUCUAGAGAACCCUGACUCAUACACUGGGGUGAUGUCAAUGCUGCUGUGACUGUCAUUUUCUUGUUCUAGAGAAACAAUGAACCCACUGAGACAAAGGGUGGGGGAGGAAAGGCCCGGAGUGGGGCUGAAGACACAGGUUCCAGGCCCAGCUCUGCUGCUUUCAGAUGAGGGUUCUCCUCUGUUGAGCGGGUACAAUCAUAGGGCCCUACUCUUGAGCUUGCCAUGUGGGUUGACUGUGGCAGUCCACAUACAAACACUCAGCAUGGUGCCUGGCAUGCAGACAGGAUUCCAUAAAUCUUGGUCUUCAUAGAAGUUUCCAUUUCUUACCACCAAGCACUUCAUGACCCCUUUGGGCAAAUGACUUCCCUCUCUGGACCCCCGUGUCCACUUCCACGUGGUGGCGGGCUCAGGACAGAUGGCUUUGUAGCUCCAUCCCAUGCCAUUUCAUUAGCUCCACCCGUGCCAUUUCAUUCCAUUCUCUUCUUUAGCUUCUCCGUGCCUUGGCUUCCCUGUUGGGGUGAUUUCAGCACCACAGGGAGGACAGCAGUCUGGGAGCUGUCCAUGGAGCUGAAGUCACCAGAGGGCACCUGGUGGAGAAGGCGGGGUGGGGCUGGAGGUAGGGGUGCGAGGGAAGCAGCAGGGGAUGGCCAGAAAUGAAGGGAGCUUGCAUCCACUGGGCACAACUGAGUCUUCCACGCCAUGAGAGCUCAUGGAGUCAGCCUUUUCCGUGCCCCAGUUGGGAACUGAGGUGUGUUGAUUGGGGCACUAGGAACAAUAGCCUGCCAGCUGUGGCUUGGCCAUCCCCUCUGCCACCACUUUCCUGCCCAUCAGCCCUUUUCCCUAGAGUCCCUCCUUCAGCCAGGUCCUGAAAAGUCACACCUUUUGGCCAAGCUGCUGAAAAUACCACUCAGCCAGAACUCGUGCUCAUGCCAGCCUCAUUCAUGAAACUCCCAAACCAGAAAUAGCCCAGGAGCCCAUUAACAGAUUCAUGGGAAAAUGUAUUGCAGUCUAUUCCAUCACUGGACUCUUAUGCAGCAGUGAAGACUGUAUCCCAUCACUGGACUCUUACGCAGCAGUGAAGACAGGAAUCCCAUCACUGGACUCUUACGCAGCAGUGAAGACAGGUGAAUUGCAAUCUUUUCCAUCACUGGACUCUUAUGCAGCAGUGAAGACCGUAUCCCAUCACUGGAAUCUUACGCAGCAGUGAAACAGUAUCCCAUCACUGGACUCUUACGCAGCAGUGAAGACAGUAUCCCAUCACUGGACUCUAACGCAGCAGUGAAGACAGUAUCCCAUCACUGGACUCUUACGCAGCAGUGAAGACAGUAUCCCAUCACUGGACUGUUAUGCAGCAGUGAAGACAGUAUCCCAUCACUGGACUCUUACGCAGCAGUGAAGACAGUAUCCCAUCACAGGACUCUUACGCAGCAGUGAAGACAGACCUCACUGAAGAUCCCCUGCCCCAGGCUCAAGUCAGAGAGAGAAGAGAUCACAGUACUGGAAUUCCAACUGGGCAUCCGUCCCAGCUCUGCACUGAGUGCGUUCAGCCCCGGCUGGAGCUUGCAGACGGCAGCCCUGCAGGAACCUACCAGGGCUGACUCCCUCCUCCCCAGAUCCCACAGAACAACAGUGGAUCUCCACUCGGCACGUGUCCCCUCCACGUUCACAUGAAGUGUCUUUUAGCGAAAGUGUAUAAACGUGUUAAUUUUGGUUACUGCACUGAAGUGAGGCAAGUUCCUGCAGCUUUAUUAAAUGACCAAUACUGUC